GCAUAUCAAUAAGCGGAGGAAAAGAAACCAACAGGGAUUGCCUCAGUAACGGCGAGUGAAGCGGCAAGAGCUCAAAUUUGAAAUCUGGCCCCUCUGGGGUCCGAGUUGUAAUUUGCAGAGGAUGCUUCGGGUGCGGUCCCCGUCUAAGUGCCCUGGAACGGGCCGUCAUAGAGGGUGAGAAUCCCGUCUGGGAUGGGCGGCCGCGCCCGUGUGAAGCUCCUUCGACGAGUCGAGUUGUUUGGGAAUGCAGCUCUAAGCGGGUGGUAAAUUUCAUCUAAAGCUAAAUACUGGCCGGAGACCGAUAGCGCACAAGUAGAGUGAUCGAAAGAUGAAAAGCACUUUGAAAAGAGAGUUAAAUAGCACGUGAAAUUGUUGAAAGGGAAGCGUUGUCCACCAGACUCGCCCGGGGGGGCUCAGCCGGCACGUGUGCCGGUGUACUCCUCUCCGGGCGGGCCAGCAUCGGUUUGGGCGGCUGGUGAAAGGCCCCGGGAAUGUACCACCCUUCGGGGUGCCUUAUAGCCCGGGGUGCCAUGCAGCCAGCCUGGACCGAGGCCCGCGCUUCGGCGAGGAUGCUGGCGUAAUGGUGGUCAACGGCCCGUCUUGAAACACGGACCAAGGAGUCUAACAUCUAUGCGAGUGUUCGGGUGUCAAACCCGUCCGCGCAGUGAAAGCGAACGGAGGUGGGAGCCUUUCGGGGCGCACCAUCGACCGAUCCUGAUGUCUUCGGAUGGAUUUGAGUAAGAGCAUAGCUGUUGGGACCCGAAAGAUGGUGAACUAUGCCUGAAUAGGGCGAAGCCAGAGGAAACUCUGGUGGAGGCUCGCAGCGGUUCUGACGUGCAAAUCGAUCGUCAAAUUUGGGUAUAGGGGCGAAAGACUAAUCGAACCAUCUGGUAGCUGGUUCCUGCCGAA
rnacentral:rRNA from 1 species